UUAAGUUAUUAAGGGCGCACGGUGGAUGCCUUGGCACUAGAAGCCGAUGAAGGACGUUACUAACGACGAUAUGCUUUGGGGAGCUGUAAGUAAGCUUUGAUCCAGAGAUUUCCGAAUGGGGAAACCCAGCAUGAGUUAUGUCAUGUUAUCGAUAUGUGAAUACAUAGCAUAUCAGAAGGCACACCCGGAGAACUGAAACAUCUUAGUACCCGGAGGAAGAGAAAGAAAAUUCGAUUCCCUUAGUAGCGGCGAGCGAAACGGGAAGAGCCCAAACCAACAAGCUUGCUUGUUGGGGUUGUAGGACACUCUGUACGGAGUUACAAAGGACGACAUUAGACGAAUCAUCUGGAAAGAUGAAUCAAAGAAGGUAAUAAUCCUGUAGUCGAAAAUGUUGUCUCUCUUGAGUGGAUCCUGAGUACGACGGAGCACGUGAAAUUCCGUCGGAAUCUGGGAGGACCAUCUCCUAAGGCUAAAUACUCUCUAGUGACCGAUAGUGAACCAGUACCGUGAGGGAAAGGUGAAAAGCACCCCGGAAGGGGAGUGAAAUAGAACCUGAAACCGUGUGCUUACAAGUAGUCAGAGCCCGUUAAUGGGUGAUGGCGUGCCUUUUGUAGAAUGAACCGGCGAGUUACGAUUUGAUGCAAGGUUAAGCAGUAAAUGUGGAGCCGUAGCGAAAGCGAGUCUGAAUAGGGCGUUUAGUAUUUGGUCGUAGACCCGAAACCAGGUGAUCUACCCUUGGUCAGGUUGAAGUUCAGGUAACACUGAAUGGAGGACCGAACCGACUUACGUUGAAAAGUGAGCGGAUGAACUGAGGGUAGCGGAGAAAUUCCAAUCGAACCUGGAGAUAGCUGGUUCUCUCCGAAAUAGCUUUAGGGCUAGCCUCAAGUGAUGAUUAUUGGAGGUAGAGCACUGUUUGGACGAGGGGCCCCUCUCGGGUUACCGAAUUCAGACAAACUCCGAAUGCCAAUUAAUUUAACUUGGGAGUCAGAACAUGGGUGAUAAGGUCCGUGUUCGAAAGGGAAACAGCCCAGACCACCAGCUAAGGUCCCAAAAUAUAUGUUAAGUGGAAAAGGAUGUGGCGUUGCCCAGACAACUAGGAUGUUGGCUUAGAAGCAGCCAUCAUUUAAAGAGUGCGUAAUAGCUCACUAGUCGAGUGACACUGCGCCGAAAAUGUACCGGGGCUAAACAUAUUACCGAAGCUGUGGAUUGUCCUUUGGACAAUGGUAGGAGAGCGUUCUAAGGGCGUUGAAGCAUGAUCAUAAGGACAUGUGGAGCGCUUAGAAGUGAGAAUGCCGGUGUGAGUAGCGAAAGACGGGUGAGAAUCCCGUCCACCGAUUGACUAAGGUUUCCAGAGGAAGGCUCGUCCGCUCUGGGUUAGUCGGGUCCUAAGCUGAGGCCGACAGGCGUAGGCGAUGGAUAACAGGUUGAUAUUCCUGUACCACCUAUAAUCGUUUUAAUCGAUGGGGGGACGCAGUAGGAUAGGCGAAGCGUGCGAUUGGAUUGCACGUCUAAGCAGUAAGGCUGAGUAUUAGGCAAAUCCGGUACUCGUUAAGGCUGAGCUGUGAUGGGGAGAAGACAUUGAGUCUUCGAGUCGUUGAUUUCACACUGCCGAGAAAAGCCUCUAGAUAGAAAAUAGGUGCCCGUACCGCAAACCGACACAGGUAGUCAAGAUGAGAAUUCUAAGGUGAGCGAGCGAACUCUCGUUAAGGAACUCGGCAAAAUGACCCCGUAACUUCGGGAGAAGGGGUGCUCUUUAGGGUUAACGCCCAGAAGAGCCGCAGUGAAUAGGCCCAAGCGACUGUUUAUCAAAAACACAGGUCUCUGCUAAACCGUAAGGUGAUGUAUAGGGGCUGACGCCUGCCCGGUGCUGGAAGGUUAAGAGGAGUGGUUAGCUUCUGCGAAGCUACGAAUCGAAGCCCCAGUAAACGGCGGCCGUAACUAUAACGGUCCUAAGGUAGCGAAAUUCCUUGUCGGGUAAGUUCCGACCCGCACGAAAGGCGUAACGAUUUGGGCACUGUCUCAACGAGAGACUCGGUGAAAUCAUAGUACCUGUGAAGAUGCAGGUUACCCGCGACAGGACGGAAAGACCCCGUGGAGCUUUACUGUAGCCUGAUAUUGAAAUUCGGCACAGCUUGUACAGGAUAGGUAGGAGCCUUUGAAACGUGAGCGCUAGCUUACGUGGAGGCGCUGGUGGGAUACUACCCUAGCUGUGUUGGCUUUCUAACCCGCACCACUUAUCGUGGUGGGAGACAGUGUCAAGCGGGCAGUUUGACUGGGGCGGUCGCCUCCUAAAAGGUAACGGAGGCGCUCAAAGGUUCCCUCAGAAUGGUUGGAAAUCAUUCAUAGAGUGUAAAGGCAUAAGGGAGCUUGACUGCGAGACCUACAAGUCGAGCAGGGUCGAAAGACGGACUUAGUGAUCCGGUGGUUCCGCAUGGAAGGGCCAUCGCUCAACGGAUAAAAGCUACCCCGGGGAUAACAGGCUUAUCUCCCCCAAGAGUUCACAUCGACGGGGAGGUUUGGCACCUCGAUGUCGGCUCAUCGCAUCCUGGGGCUGUAGUCGGUCCCAAGGGUUGGGCUGUUCGCCCAUUAAAGCGGUACGCGAGCUGGGUUCAGAACGUCGUGAGACAGUUCGGUCCCUAUCCGUCGUGGGCGUAGGAAAUUUGAGAGGAGCUGUCCUUAGUACGAGAGGACCGGGAUGGACAUACCUCUGGUGUACCAGUUGUCGUGCCAACGGCAUAGCUGGGUAGCUAUGUGUGGACGGGAUAAGUGCUGAAAGCAUCUAAGCAUGAAGCCCCCCUCAAGAUGAGAUUUCCCAACUUCGGUUAUAAGAUCCCUCAAAGAUGAUGAGGUUAAUAGGUUCGAGGUGGAAGCAUGGUGACAUGUGGAGCUGACGAAUACUAAUCGAUCGAAGACUUAAUCAA
rnacentral:rRNA from 1 species